UAGCUGUGCUGCCCAGUACAGUGGCCACUAGCUACAUGAGACCACUGAGCACUUGCAACGUGGCUACUGCUACAGAGGAACUAAUGUUUCGUUUUAUUUAUUUAAUUUAAAUAGCCACAUGUGGCUAGGGCUACGCUACUGACCAGCGCAGCAUCCUGUGAAAGAGGGCUGAUGUGUUCAUUGUGGGAUCCAGGUAAACAAGCAAACUCCAUCCACCACCACCUCUCAGAGCUCAUGUCCAGCCUGAAGGGCACUAGACAGGGAGAUUAAAUUCAAAGAAAACCGCAGGAAAAGAGGAGCUCUAUGUCAGCUGUACCAAAGACAACAGGUACAGAAAACAGCCCAAACUAAAACUCUCACCCCUACGGACUUUGCCCUCCUCUGCUGGAGAAAGCAAUUAACGCCAGCAGCACUAGAAGUGCCAGCAGCCACCACGCACCCCAGGCAGUGGGGCAUUUCCCAGCUUCCUCAGAGCAAGCAGGCCUCACUCUCAGGGAUGACCUAAAACACCCCUUGGUUGACUAAAGCCAGGGUCGCAAAGACCUCAAAAUUUCCCAUCAGGAAAAUAAAUCAUCUGCAUGCUUUCAAACAUAACUGGAUUCCUGCCCAGGUACAGUACAAAGGCCAAAUUCAAACCUGACCAAGAACUCCAGAUUAACGUGUGUGGUCUUCCAGCCUUGAUUCCCGCCUCCCACAUGUCAAGGCCCUCUGCCCAGCACCUGCCUAGGCACAUGCUCUGAAUCUACCACCGAGUGUGAUUACCUGAGCCGAGAAGUAUUGCCUCGGCCUUCUAGAAUACCCAAUGAACACAGCCGGAUGCGGGAGCAGGAGAGGCCAGGUGGGUGUCGGGAACCACCUGUCCUCCCUCACCAGCUCCCACUGUAAAGGAGAGGCCGCUGGGCAGCCCACCAGGCAGCCGGCCUGCUGCAGGGCCACGGCCCUGGAGGAGAGGGACGGGGGAGGAAAGAAAGAUCUCUACCAAGAGCGCGGGGGGCAGGGGGGCGGCCAGUGCCCUCCAUCAAAGACUAGAGGCUGUGACUGAAGUUUGAAGUUUACUGGAAGAUGGUUUUCCCCUUCUAUAAAAAGAGAAAAAAAAAAAAAAAAGAAAAGAAAGGAAAAGAAAAGAUCGUGUUGCAACUUCCUUCAC